GACUCACUGGACGCUCUCAGACUCCCUAGCUCUAUGCACUCUUUUCCUGAGAUGGACUCUUUCUGGUGUCCAAAGAAAUAAGCAUCUAGAAGCUGACCUCCCAAGAAGAGAAGCCAAGAAGCACCACAGGGAAGUGAAAAAGCUUUGAGGAGGCUGGGGCCUGUGCCUGCGUCUGCACUGUCUCUAACAUUGCUUGAAAGGAGCACCAGGCCCCAGGCCUGGUGUCUCUGAGCUCUCUGUUGUUGGUAUGGGCCAAUAACUCAAAAAGCUGUAACACUAGUGGCCUGAGGAUGGACACAGUCUGCCAAUGCUCUCCAACAAUGCUGAAGACUACAGGACCUGUGUCAGGUCACCUCUGAGAGCUGUUAAUUGUCUGGCACUACCUCCCAGUCCUGUUGCCUCUGCUGCUGUCUUGUCCAGCAUCUGGUGCCAUCCAUCCCAACCUUCAGAUUGUUGCUGUGGGCUGUGGCGUCAUUUCAGUGACCCCACCUGUGAGCACCUCCAGCUGCAGUGAGUUGGAUCCUGGUCUGCUGUUUAUGGGCUGCCAGACCCACAUUGGUGGGACAGUGCCAUCUUGGAUAAGCAGCUUUUUGUUUAAGACUUUUGGACACUGUGGACACUAACUGGGGUUUCACCUGAGAAUCUUCCCUCAAUAAGCCACUUGCACAAGAAUCACCAUCUCAGACUCCGAAUCCAGGAAACACAAGAAGAUGGUUCCUCAAAGCAGAA